rnacentral:rRNA from 1 species
CAAGUCGAACGCGAAAGAGGGGGCAACUCCUCGAGUAGAGUGGCGAACGGGUGAGUAACGCGUGAGAAACCUGCCUUCAUCAGGGGGAUAACACUCCCAACGGGGUGCUAAUACCGCAUGUGACCACGGGAUCGCAUGGUUCCGAGGUAAAAGGUGGCCUCUAUUUAUAAGCUACCGGAUGAAGAUGGUCUCGCGUCCCAUUAGCUAGUUGGCGGGGUAACGGCCCACCAAGGCGACGAUGGGUAGCUGGUCUGAGAGGAUGGUCAGCCACACUGGGACUGAGAUACGGCCCAGACUCCUACGGGAGGCAGCAGUCGAGAGGCUUCGGCAAUGGGGGAAACCCUGACCGAGCGACGCCGCGUGGGGGAUGAAGGCCCUUGGGUUGUAAACCCCUUUUGUUCGGGAAGAAGUGCGAUCAGGUGAACAAUCUGGUCGUUUGACGGUACCGGACGAAUAAGCUCCGGCUAACUCCGUGCCAGCAGCCGCGGUGAUACGGGGGGAGCAAGCGUUGUUCGGAAUCACUGGGCGUAAAGGGCGUGUAGGCGGUCAGGUAAGUAAGACGUGAAAUGCCUCGGCUCACCCGAGGAGCGGCGUCUUAUACUGCUUGGCUUGAGUAUGGGAGAGGAUGUGGGAAUUCCUGGUGUAGCGGUGAAAUGCGUAGAUAUCAGGAGGAACACCGGUGGCGAAGGCGCACAUCUGGCCCAAUACUGACGCUGAGGCGCGAAAGCUAGGGGAGCAAACGGGAUUAGAUACCCCGGUAGUCCUAGCCGUAAACGGUGAUCACUAGGUGUUGGAGGCAUUGACCCCUCCAGUGCCGCAGCUAACGCAUUAAGUGAUCCGCCUGGGGAGUACGGCCGCAAGGUUGAACUCAAGGAAUUGACGG